UCAGGAUGAACGCUGGCGGCGUGCUUAACACAUGCAAGUCGAACGAAGCAUUGUUCGGAUUCUUCGGAUUGAAGAACUUAUGACUUAGUGGCGGACGGGUGAGUAACGCGUGGGGAACCUGCCCCAUACCGGGGGACAACAGCUGGAAACGGCUGCUAAUACCGCAUAAGCGCACGGAACGGCGUCGUUCAGUGUGAAAAAACUCCGGUGGUAUGGGAUGGCCCCGCGUUGGAUUAGGCAGUUGGCGGGGUAACGGCCCACCAAACCGACGAUCCAUAGCCGACCUGAGAGGGUGACCGGCCACAUUGGGACUGAGACACGGCCCAAACUCCUACGGGAGGCAGCAGUGGGGAAUAUUGCACAAUGGGGGAAACCCUGAUGCCAGCGACGCCGCGUGAGUGAGGAAGUAUUUCGGUAUGUAAAGCUCUAUCAGCAGGGAAGAAAAUGACGGUACCUGCACAAGAAGCCCCGGCUAACUACGUGCCAGCCGCCGC
rnacentral:rRNA from 1 species